AGGCGCUCGGAGCCGCCGCGGCCCCGGGAGGGAAGGCUCGCCAGGCCCCGGGCGGCCGCCGCACCGAUGAUCCCGGGUCCGGCGCCCCGAGCGGCCGCCUGGGCUUCGGCCGCGGGCGUGGCGGCGGCGGCGGGAGGGGCUUGGGAGGCUGUGCCGAAAGGCACUUGACUGUGAGCCCCGGCGGAACAGGGCUCCUCAGCGGCCGGCGGCCAGGCUGCCGACCUCGCCGGGCCGCAGCGGAUCGCAGCCGGUCACAGACAAACGCCGGAGCCCGGGGCUGGAGGUCAGAUCUACGGCCGGUUACCCUGUGCAAGUCAUUCCGCUUCUCUGAGGCUCCAUCCCCUCAUCUGUGAAACGGGGGUGGUGUGCCCAGCCUUGCAGGGUUGGAGGAUGACAGCAGAGUGACCAGAGAUCCCCAGUGUCACUGUCCGCUGUGCCGACGGGGAGGCCGGUGGGCCCAGUCUUGAGAAGAGCUCCGCGCCCCAGUGCCUUCUAGAGAAUGAGGGCUGCUUUUCUUUGAUUUGCGGUGCGAACAACAGCCUUUCUGAGGCCACUGGCAGGGGUCAAGGGCAAGGGAUGUGCUGCCAUGUGGCUUUGAGCCUCCCUGGAUUAUCUUGCGUUUGGAUAAUCUCCAGGGUACUUGGAGGAGGAGAAUUAGGGUUUACUCUUGCCGGGAGGAACUGGGUGAGCUGGGAGCCAUGCAUCCUUCUUGCCAUGCUUUGCAAGGGGUGGACAGCCAGAACACACUCGAGCCCGUGUAUCCCCAGGCUGCCAGCUCCUGGGCCUGGUGGAGAAGAGGCAUGAGCAUUUCUGGUCUCUCCAUGGCAAGAAUCCUCACAUUCAGAGCAAGAUCCUGGUGACCCAGGGCGCCAGGACCUGUCUGUGCACUGAGGCCUGGGACCACACAGGCUGAGCGCCAGACCCCAGCACAGCCCCGAGUGCCCUGAGGGCCAUGCCUCCAGGAGCAGGUGCCUGGCCACGGGCACAGACCUCCCCUUUCUGGGGCCUCCCAGAACAGGCAGCUGUCCUCUCCUUCAUACACUCUGCCUGACCCUAGAAGGAAACAGAGGGACACUGACAAAUGGCCUGGGUUUUUUUCCCCCUUUCUCGUUGCACAAGUAAGCACAGCUUUAAACUCAAACUUUAAAGCCAAGAGUGGCUCUGGGAGGCCCUGGGGGAGAGACAAGAGCUUCCAGACCAUGUUGGGAAAGCGCAAGGGGCCAGCCAGGCUCAGUGUCCGUGCUGUCCUCUCCUGCCCUGCCCUCCCCUGUCCCCUACCUAUCUGAGCCGAGGGUCCCAUUCUCCUGGACAAUGCCUCGGGUGCCUGGCUCGCCCAUGUGCUCAAACUAGCGCCCCCCCUCCCCCCCACUGCCCCAAGCACCUGCACCUUUCCUGACAGGCAUCUGAUCUUUUCCCUUUCCUGUGUAUUCUUAGUGGCCCCAGGGGGAAAGGCAGCCUGGCCUUGCAUGGCUGGGACACCCCCCCCCAGUAACAUGGCCCCAGAGCCCACAUGGUUCCUUCCUCCAGGGCUGGCUCAGUGAGGGUCUGCUGGUGGGGUCUCUGCCCUUCAUGAACCAGAGUCAGGGCAUCUUCUUUUGUGGCCAAGGAGCAGCCUGCUCAGGAAGAAAGCUACAAGUGUUCCCAUUCUGCAGGUUUGAAAGACAAGGCUGAGGGUUGAUCACAAAGUCCCAGGCUGUUACUGCAUCAAGACGCCUGCAUCUCUAGCCUGUUACUUCUCUUGAGCCACGAGCCACGGAAUGCGAGCCACGGAAUGCCGGGGGAGCAUGGUGGUGGGCUUGGUGGAGAUGUCUAGGGCAGCCCUGGAAACGUGGAACUGACGGGCCUCUUUGGGCGGAGGGUGGAUAAAGAGGGUAUUUCUCUCUUAGAUCCCUUCAGUCAGAGUCAGCGUGCAGGACAAAGCCCACCGCCUUCCUUAAGCAGGUUUUGAACUAUUCCAUCUUCCUAGCGGCCUCUGCUCACUCUAUGCGCCGGAUUUUCCAUUUCGCAGGGCUCGCUACCCUCUGGGAGCUGGAGCUGGCUCUGGAGCCUGCGGACAGGAAGGACGGUGUGGGGAGAGAACAGGCUUUCUGGGCCGGGCUCACUGACAGCUCACCCCACUUGCCUGCCACGGGCCACAUGCCUGCCAUUCCCCCUGGCGCUCUCAUCCUCUCAAUAUAGGGUGCUUCUGGCACACUGGGCGGGGGCCGCCAGCCCCAGGGCCAGACACCCUGCUGCUGGAGGGCGAGGCCAGUGGGGACAGGCUAGGGCAGGCGUCAGCUUGCUCCCUCUCCUUGCAUGGCCACGGCCUGCAGCCUGUCUUCUGAUUUGUGUGUAUUAUUAGGUCCCAGGGACUCCGGCGGCUGUGGGGGAACCACAGAGGGUAGGGCGCCACCCAGCCUGCCGAAGGAAUUUAUCCCCGAACCUGAGCUCUUCUGGGGGUCCUCCAGCCUGGCUGGGAAAGCAGGCCCCCCGCCUCUUCCAGGAGGGUUGAAGAAGUGCCUUGGGCCUCUUCAGCUUAAUGAGCUGCAGAGGAUGAGUGGCCCAUAAAGAAGGACGGCAAGCAGCUGACGUGUCCAAGGGGCUCCAGCUUAAGAACAUUAGAGAGGUAGAUUUUAUCAGCUCCACGAACGGAGGAGUGAAGAGCAGUCACAGAACAAACUAGCAGCUCCCAGUCCCUCCUCUGUUUUGUCUUCUUCAGAAGUUGACACGAUUCCGUUCACCUCAUUCUCAGAAGGCUCACCGAACCUCACGGCCACCGCUCUGAAGCUUGGUUGGAAUACACACGGGCAGUUGGUCACGGGGGGCGAAUUCCCGAGAAGCCAUAGGAGAAGCCACGUCUGAGGAGCUGGGGGGGAUGUGGAGAUGGGGACCCUGGGCCCGGACCCCUUGGCCCCCGAGGAUGCACGGGUGUGGGGCUACUCUCCCCAGACAGCCAGGUCCCCCACAGCAGGACCCCAUCGGGCCACUCUCACCGGGCGCUCUGCUCUGACAGCCUCGGGGUGCCCCCACCUCCGCCUGGGCUGUGCUCCCGGCCGGAUGGCCUGGGAUUCUCCUGACUUCACUCUGAGACAGUCCCUCCGUGACACAGUGCUCCCACUGCGGGCCUCGUCUUCCACAUCUGCAACACAAGGGGCAGAAUCGUCACCUCCAGGGUCCCUCGCUGCCCAGAAGCUCUGCACUCCUGCCUACGAUCGCUGUCAUAGCUCGGGGACACACCAGGCUCCUGAGACGCGCCUCCCUGCAGAAGCUCUGUGCCCUCCCCGGCCUGCAGUGCCCCCGCCCCGCAGCGAGUUCGUGCAGGGCUGGCCCCUGACUGUGGAGGGACUCCGGUGUCAGGCCAGCCUGUGCCCUGUGGGCGGGGGGAAGCCAGCUGCGGAAAAACUCCCCUCACAUAGGGUCGGGGGCAGUAAAUAAAGGGCAGGUUCGAGUCCUCAGCUGGAGCUAUGGCCAGGAACUGGGGUGGAGGGAAGACAGGGGGCAGUGGCAGGAGUUCUGCAGGCACUGCUUUUCAAGGUGAGCUUAGACUUGGGAGAACUCUCCAUUUCUCCACAUCUUUAGUAAAGUCGGCCAUACACAAAGAGCUGGGUCCGUUUGCUUCUGUGUUGAGGAAUUGUUUAGGUGGCUGUCAAAGCAGGUCUGCGACCAGCCUCGGUGGGCCUGGUGCAGGCCAGACGGGCCUGAGCGGAGAGGAAAGGCAGUGAGCGUUCGAGAAUGCAGGCCUCGCACAGAUUCGGCGUGACGACAAUAACGUCAGAAGGAGAGCUUAAUACUCGUGCUGCACUUCGAGACGUUUCCUGAGCAAGUGUGAUGUGCGUGUUUGGUGCCUUCAGGAUAUAUUAUUUCAAAGCUCAA